rnacentral:rRNA from 1 species
AAAAGCAGGGGAUCGUAAGACCUUGCGCUUUUGGAGUGGCCGAUGCCUGAUUAGCUAGUUGGUGGGGUAAGGGCCUACCAAGGCAACGAUCAGUAGUUGGUCUGAGAGGACGACCAGCCACACUGGGACUGAGACACGGCCCAGACUCCUACGGGAGGCAGCAGUGGGGAAUUUUGGACAAUGGGCGAAAGCCUGAUCCAGCAAUGCCGCGUGAGUGAAGAAGGCCUUCGGGUUGUAAAGCUCUUUCAGUCGAGAAGAAAAGGUUGUGACUAAUAAUCACAACUUAUGACGGUACCGACAGAAGAAGCACCGGCUAACUACGUGCCAGCAGCCGCGGUAAUACGUAGGGUGCGAGCGUUAAUCGGAAUUACUGGGCGUAAAGGGUGCGCAGGCGGCUUUGUAAGUCAG